UGGCGGACGGGUGAGUAACGCGUGAGUAACCUGCCCUAGAGUGGGGGACAACAGUUGGAAACGACUGCUAAUACCGCAUAAGCCCACGGUGCCGCAUGACACUGAGGGAAAAGGAUUUAUUCGCUUUAGGAUGGACUCGCGUCCAAUUAGCUAGUUGGUGAGGUAACGGCCCACCAAGGCGACGAUUGGUAGCCGGACUGAGAGGUUGAACGGCCACAUUGGGACUGAGACACGGCCCAG
rnacentral:rRNA from 1 species